GUCUUCGUGGCGCAACUGGUUAGCGCGUCUGACUGUUAUGUCAAGUAAAGCUUGGCAGUUAUCAGGAGGUUGUCAGUUCGAGCCUGACCGAGGACG